rnacentral:lncRNA from 1 species
UAAAGCCUCGGUUACACCUUACCGGAUAGCACGAACGGACGACUAACAGAUGAAAAUAAAAGUUGUCCGUUGACAAAAUUGUUAUCCGUUGGGAGUCCGUUGAUGUACUGACCGAAUAAAACGGACGUGUAACGGAUGCAUAACGGACACACACCGGAUAUGCAACGUACGAGAAAAGGACACGUACCGGACAGAACGGAUGUCGAACGUACAUCCAACGGACGAGUACCGCAUAAAACGGACACCUAACGGAAGCGUACCGGAUAAAACGGAUGAACAAGAUAUACGGAAAAAUCAAAAGCGACAAUAAUAAUACAUGUAAAUCGCAUAAAUAUUCAAAAUGUUUCUGUGUAACUGGUUUUGGUUUGUUCUUCAAAAUUCCGCCAAAGGGCAGUGUCUGGCCUGAAUAAGAACUGCUUGAUUGUGAAGACGUGCCUAUACGAUUAUGAAUUAUAAGAAUUCAUGAACCUUAAGAAAUCUGACAUACCAAUAAUUGGCAUUUCUGACGCGAAAUUUUCAAUUGGCAUUUAUCCGUAUCAGAUCCGUUCAUCAUCC